GGAGGAGAUGGAGAAGAGAAGUGAAAUUUUUGAGAGACUGGCAAAAAAUACACUAUGGCAAGAGAAAUUAGAAGAUAUCAUGAAAUUAGGGACAUUGUAUAAGAAAUGGAUGGAAGAAGCCAGAUUUAACGAAGAACUAUGGAACAAGAGAAUAAGAAGAAUGAACCUUCUGCUGCUUGCUUGAAUAACCAAUGAAUAGAA